AUUUCCGCACAGCCCCGUGCUAGGAGGUGGCAGGGGACGGUGGAGGAAGAUGCAGGUCUUGCCCCCCGGAGGAGACAACGACCCAGCGGGGAGAGGGGCAGACAAGCUCGUGAAGAAACGUCCUGCCACUGGUCUGGUCACAUCAGGGGAAGGCCCUCGGGGGACACCUGGGCCUGGAGCCUGGAUGGCGAGGAGGCCUUCUGCACUAGAGGAGGCCUUCCGGGUGGGGCCGUGGCAGGUGCAAAGGCCCUGAGGUUGGAGGAACCAUCCUCAAGAGGGGGCAGGCGUGGGACUGAGGGCCCGAGCCGAGGCCGGGAGGCCAACAGCGGCCAGGCCACGGAGGACUUGGCAGCCGUGGAAGGCAUGUGGCCUUUCUCCUGGGAGCGGAGGGGAGACCCAGAGGAUGACAGAACUGGAGCCGCUUUUGAAGAGACUGUGGAGGAGGAAAAGGAUCGGAUUCGGAGCCCCUUCCAGAUAGCAAGUUCCGCAGAGACCCAGAGACUGCAGGUGUGGCUGGUCCUGACCCUGGCCUUGGACGAGUGCCCCACACCCAAGGUCUCCACGGCCCCUCCUCCCAGGCCUCCUCUAAGACCUGCCAGCCCAGAGGUCCUGGCAGGCAUCUCUUGGACACAGUCCCAGGGCGUGGGACUUGAUGGCUGAGUGUGCUGAUCCCCAGGAGGGGGCCCCCAGAGCAAGGGGGCAGGAAGUCCUGUCACUUCCCUGCCAGAGACAUCCCCCAUCUGUCCCUCACUGCAGGUUCCUGCAUCUCGCGCCUGCGUUGUCCUGCAGGGCACGAACCUACAUCAUCACUGUUCAUACAGCCAGGUGUAAUUUAUAACUUACAGGGUCGGGCACGAUUCUUUUUCUCCCCCCUUUUAUUUAUUUAUUUUUUUGCUUUUUUAGGGCUGCACCUGUGGCACAUAGGAGUUCCCAGAUGAGGGGCUGCAUCAGAGCUGCAGCUACCAGCACAUGCCACAGUCAUGCCAGAUCUGAGCCACAUCUGUGACCCACAACCACAGCUCACGGCAACGCCAGAUCCUUAACCCGCUGAGCGAGGCCAGGGAUCGAACCCAUAUCCUCAUGGGUACUAGUCGGGUUCUUAACCCACUGAGCCACAAUGGGGACUUCGUUCUUUUUUCUUUUUAUGGCCACACCUGCAGCAUAUGGGAGUUCCCAUAGGGGUGGAAUUGGAGCUGCAUAUGUGGUGUAAGCCACAGCCACGGCAACACUGGAUCUGAGCCACAUCUGUGAUCUAUUCUGGCAGCUUAUGGCAACACAGGAUCCUUAACCCACUGAGCAAGGCCAGGGAUUGAACUUGCAUCCUCACAGGGACAAUGUUGCACCUUAACCCACUGAGCCACAAUGGGAACUCCUGUUUUUGGUCACCCGCAGCAUGCAAAUUCCCAGGCCAGGGAUCGAACUUGUGACACAACAGUGACCUGAGCCACUGCAGGGACAACGCCGGAUCCUUAACUCGCUGAGUCACCAGGGAACUCUGAAAUGCACGCUUUUCAAGUUUGCAGCUGUGCAAGCCUGUGUGACCUCCACCCAGGUCACAACGUGGACACGCCCAGCCCCCAGGACACCUGUCUUGUGAGGCUGGCCCCCGGGC
ensembl:lncRNA